rnacentral:snoRNA from 1 species
AAUGAAGGAGAUGAUGUUUUCUUAUGUGAAUAUGAAUAUGACAUCCAUUGGCACACUUUUAAGCGUCUAGCUGAGGUU